ensembl:lncRNA
AUAUUGUUACAGGAAGUGCACUUAUACUGUCGAGAGAAAUUGUAAACUCUUAAUCGAUGGCUUCUUGGCCACACUGGUUCUGUUUCUGGUGGUGGAGUUGGUGAUCUGCAUUGUAACCAUCUUGUUUGGACUCAAUGCUCUGGCUAAAGGUGGCAUGCAGCUUCCUGGUUUUAGACAGCGUGCUGCCCCAUCUCAGCCCGAGGCCGUCACCCCUAGCCAACCUCAGGUGGAAGUGUUGGUGUCAGAGGUGGAGCCAAUGCCUGAGCGUGAACCUGAACCCAAAUCUGAACCGAUAGAAGAAAUCCCCAGCCCUCCCACUGAACCUCAAGUGGCGCCCAUUGACUCUUUAACAGAUGUUUGAUGCUUUGUGCUCAUGUGAUCUGUAUGUAUAUUGUAGAGAUUAGUGAGGUUUUAGCAGCAAGGGUUUUUGUAUUUUAGUGAUGUAUGAAAUCAACAUGAUAGGGCUUUGUAAAAUAGGCCAUUAUCAUCAUACUUAAAAAAGAUGGUUCAACCAAAAAUAGAAAUUCAUUUGCUCCCUCAUGUUGUUCCAAACCCAUGACUUUCGGUUACACAUUAUUUUCAGGUGUCCUUGUUACAGAGUAAUUAAGUACUGAGUAAUAUUAAUUAACUACAUCAACUUACUAUAUGGUUAGGGUUAGGAUUAGGGUUUGGUUUAGGGUUACUUGCAUGUAAUUAUGCAUAAUUUAUUGUUAUUAUAAUAGUAAGUACAUGUAAUGUGUAACAAGGACACCUUAAAAUAAAGUGUUACCUGACUUUCUUUGGUACAAUGAAAAUGUAUGGGGACCUGGGUUGUCAAGCUCCAAAAGGACAAAAAAAUCACCAUAAAAGUAAAAACAAGAGUGGUUCGUAUAACUUGUGCACUAUAUUCCAGGUCUUUUGAAGUCAUACAUUUAUGUCAUCUAUUAAACAUAUUGCUUGACUACUGUGAUCAUGUUAUGAAAAGAGCAAUUUAGACAUCCUACUAUUAUUUUAUCCUUUUGCAUUCCGCAUCUUUAAAGAAACAUUUUUAAAAGUUGUGGGUUUCAAAAGACAUGAGAGUGAAUUUUCAUUUUGAGGUGAACCAUUGCUUUAAUAUUGUAUUACCUGCAGAGUUUCUUCUUGUCUGACAACUGAAGACUUACAGUGUUUGCAAAGCAGCACACAGAUAUUCUUCAAAUAUUCAGGGUCAAAACUUAACCCUCAAUUUGAAACUUCUCCAAUUAAUUUAGCCUGAACCACUAAUUUCACCUUGCUUGUUUUAUCUGUUAUUGUUAUCUUUCAUCCUUAAAAAAGUAAGAUAAUUCUUCUUUUGAUAGAAUCACUUAAAUGUUAACUGGCAGCACAGAUGUCAUCAUAUAAUUUGCAUAUUGAAUUGUGAUUGGUGAAUGCUUGCAUUCUUCCUGGCAUAUAUUUAAUCAUUCACACUGUCUAUGUAUUAAUCGUUUACACUGUGUGCUGUGUAUAUUGAUGCUUGCAAUGGCAAAACAGCUUUAAUGUAGCAUGAAACAAACCGAUGUUUCGAUUUUAGGCUUUGGUUCUGUGUGAAUGAAAUUUUGCACAGGCUAGAAAUUUAACUGUAUUUGGCUUUCCCACAAACAUGUAAAACUUUCAGGGAAUUUGAACAUUGUGAUUUCCAGGCCUGAAAAAGUCAUAGAAAUUAGUGAAUAUAGUUUUAUUUCCCUAAUAAUGCACAGAUCUAGAAUAUUUUAUUUGCUAGAAAUAUUCUAGGUGCAAUCGCUAUAAAAUGGCUUUUUUUAUGUAGUAACAACUGAAAAAAAAUUACAUUAUGAUUGGUGUAAAUGUAAUCAUAGCUCAAACAAACAAACAAAAAAAACGUUGCACAUCUUGCAGGGAAAAAUGUAUGUAAACAAUGCAAGCAUGCAUAUUUGGAUCCAUUUAAUGCAAGACAGCUUUAAAUCAUUGUCAGCUGUCAUCUACAACCAACAAACUAUAGUGCGGGCAAUAUCAUGUUAAUUGAAAAAUGGCAUCAAACCCACCCCUGAUCUGCAAUAAUGAGUACUUCUAUUGAGCUAACCUACUAACAAACAAAAUUCUCUGUAUGAUAUGCUAGUAUAUGUUACAUAAUGUAAAAUAUUCCCACAGUUCGUUUGGCCUCUUUAGUGUUAGUAAUGUGUGUAAUCUGAUAACACAAUAUCUAUAUUGAACCUCCAUGCUCACAAGAGAAUGAAAAAUAGUAAUAAUAUCUUAACAGAUAAGUUGGGCUUGAUCUCUUACUGUACAUCCUUUUAAAGAAAAAAAAAAGUUGUGUUCACUGUUAAUAUCAAACAGUGGCAUGAGUUAGUUCCCUGUAGAUAUGUUGUAUAUUCCUGAUUAAUGUCAUUGGUGCUAGUAUAGUACAUCUAAAAAAUACAUUUCAGUGCAGGUUGAGGUUUUGUGUGUGAGAAACCAUGCUUUCAUCUUUCAUAUAAUCAUUUUGUAUCCUUCGAUUACCAAUAAAUAAGUGAGAGCGAUAGAAUAACCAGGUUUAAAUGGGGAGAGUUCGAAUAGAGCUUUUAUGCGUCAUCUUUACCCUUUGUUCGCUUGCCAUUGUUGUUUCACAAAGCUUAAUAAUUCAGCUAAUAGUUAUUAUUGUUGUACGUUACGCCAAUAAAUAAGUGAGAGCGAUAGGAUAACCAGGUUUAAAUGGGGAGAGUUCGAAUAGAGCUUUUAUGCGUCAUCUUUACCCUUUGUUUGCUUGCCAUUGUUGUUUCACAAAGCUUAAUAAUUCAGCUAAUAGUUAUUAUUGUUGUACGUUACUCACUCACCAGACUCACGGAUUGUCAUUUUUAGUAUUUCUCAAGAAUCUGAAUUUGUUACAAUACAGUCAUAAUCCAAGGAGCAUUUUAUUACAGAUCUAAGAAACCAAAGCAUUUUGUUUCUCUUCUACGGUUGAUUUACUUUCGUAUACCUCUUUUACACAACAUCUGUGUAUUUUCUGCUCUGUUCACACCUCUUGUUUAAUUGUGAUUUUUGAGCAUGCUGCUGUGAGUUUCCACUAGAUGGGGAUCAAAGGAACUGGUGUGACAUUGUAGCACAUUCUCAUAGUGUUUGAAGUGCAGUGUAUUUUAGGUGCUGAAUGGACUUAUUAAACCACGUUUAUGCACCAACAAUGUGAGAUUAUUAUUUCUUAUUUGUGACCCUGGAGCACAAAAGCAGUCUU